CAGCAGUAGCCGCGGGAAUACAGAGGGUGCGAGCGUUAAUCGGAUUUACUGGGCGUAAAGCGUGCGUAGGCGGCUUCUUAAGUCGGAUGUGAAAUCCCUGAGCUUAACUUAGGAAUUGCAUUCGAUACUGGGAAGCUAGAGUAUGGGAGAGGAUGGUAGAAUUCCAGGUGUAGCGGUGAAAUGCGUAGAGAUCUGGAGGAAUACCGAUGGCGAAGGCAGCCAUCUGGCCUAAUACUGACGCUGAGGUACGAAAGCAUGGGGAGCAAACAGGAUUAGAUACCCGCGUAGUCCCUGUCUCUUAUAA
rnacentral:rRNA from 1 species